rnacentral:tRNA from 1 species
GCGUGAGUAGUUCAGCGGUAGAACGCCUCGUUGCCAACGAGGUAACCCGAGUUCGAAUCUCGGCUCGCGCA